CCGCCGCGCACGCCAUGGCUGAAGAAAGCGCCGCUGGGCCGGCCUUUCUGCUGCUUGCGCGGCAAGAUCGACCGGCAGCUGCUAACGGAGUGGCGGACGGUGACUCAACCGACUGCCGUGCUGGAAGCUGGGCUGGACCGCUGGAGGUAUCGCGAUGCUAAAUUCCUAACCAGCCGACUGGGUCAAUCACAUCAGCGUCCGGAAGGUGGGCGGCUAGCUCAGCUUCUGGUCCUCCAACCACCGGAAAGGUCGAGAGGAGCCAGGGGAAGAUGGAAAGGAGAUGAGGAAAGGUCGAGCAAGGAAGACAUGGAUGGAAAAGCCUGGUGCCUAGGAAUCGAAUCGGGUGCUUUGCUUUUGCUGUGCUCUGGACUGCCAGAUGCAAGCUCCGAGGGUGACUCCAGUCGAAUCCCCUGCUUUUCUCCGCCGGCUGGCUGCAGGCUGGAGCUGGUGCGGCGGACAGGCAGAGAAGAGAAGAGCCCUCCAGAUUUCUUGAGCAGAGUUUGAGACAGCUUGCCCAACUCAAAACAUAUUUGUGAUAUCCUCGCUGAGCGUGCCAGAAAAAUCUUAGAAUAGAAGUUU
rnacentral:misc_RNA from 1 species